GGAAGUAAAAGUCGUAACAAGGUUUCCGUAGGUGAACCUGCGGAAGGAUCAUUAACGUUGUCGUGGAGUCCGUCUCCCGUGUGCACUGUACUUGAAUCAUCUUCUUGCGAUACGUUUUGGGAGGGUCGACCUAGCGGUUGUCAAAUGCUGUGUGCGUUAGCAGUCAGCCCCCCCAACGUUCGCAUGUCUUUGUUUUCUAUCCAGUUUGUCAAUAGUGAGAAUGAUAUUGAAAGAUACGAAAAAAAGUGAUAAAACAACUCAGAACGGUGGAUCUCUUGGCUCACGCAUCGAUGAAGAACGCAGCCAACUGCGAUAAGUAGUGUGAAUUGCAGAAGACAGUGAAUCAUCGAAUCUUUGAACGCAAAUGGCGCUCUCGGGCCCUGGUCCCGGGAGCAUGUCUGUCUGAGGGUCGAAUACACUAUGUGUGUCUUUCUUCUUUUGCGAGGAAAGACGGUGUUGAGGUGUCACGGCCAAUCCUCCUCCUCUUCAUAAGAAAGGGAAGAGGCCGUGUCCCUUGAAAUGUAGAAUGCCGGUGGACGACCGCGACUCGUUCAUAUCGCCCAUCGACAGAGAGAGAGGGACAAAACACUCAUGUACGACCUCAGAUCAGGCAAGACUACCCGCUGAAUUUAAGCAUAUCAAUAAGCG
rnacentral:rRNA from 1 species